rnacentral:rRNA from 1 species
UACGGAGGGUGCAAACGUUGCUCGGAAUCAUUGGGCGUAAAGCGCACGUAGGCGGCCUGUUAAGUCGGGUGUGAAAUCCCCGGGCUCAACCUGGGAACUGCAUUCGAAACUGGCAGGCUAGAGUCUUGUAGAGGGGGGUAGAAUUCCAGGUGUAGCGGUGAAAUGCGUAGAGAUCUGGAGGAAUACCGGUGGCGAAGGCGGCCCCCUGGACAAAGACUGACGCUCAGGUGCGAAAGCGUGGGGAGCAAACAGG